rnacentral:rRNA from 1 species
AUGCGCCGCUCCCCGCAGUCCGGCUCCGUGCAGUGGUUCAUCUGCGACGAGGACGACAGGCCGCACCACGCCCGCGACAGCAAGGGCAGGGGCGGCGCCGCCGCCGCGCAUGGCCGCGUGGUGCAGGAGGGCGUCGAGUUCUACAGCAAUGGGGACUGCUACGAGGGGGAGUUCCACAACCACAAGGGCCGCUGCAACGGCAGCGGCGUCUACAACUUCUUUGGCAAGGGCAAGUACGAGGGGGACUGGGUGGAUGGCAAGUACGACGGGUACGGCAUGGAGAGCUGGGCGCGCGGCAGCCGCUACCGCGGCCAGUACCGCCAGUGCCUCCGCCACUGCCACGGCGUCUACCGCCUCUACAGCGGCGACUGCUAUGCCGGCGAGUGGGCCGGCGGGCAGAGCCAUGGCAUCGGCGCGCAGACGAUUUCACAAACUACCCGUAAGAGCAGAGCUGAUCGAUGUUGA